AGUUGGUGGAGCGAUUUGUCUGGUUAAUUCCGAUAACGAACGAGACUCUGCCGUAUUAAAUAGUGAAUGUAUAGACAAAAUGAUGGUUACUUCUUCAAAGGACAAGCGGAAAAGAACCGCACGAAACGGAGCAACAACAGGUCUGUGAUGUCCUUAGAUGUCCGGGGCUGCACGCGCGCUACACCAAUAAACUCAGCGCAUUUAUUUCUUCGUCUGUUGAGAUGGAGUAAUCGAAAGAAAUCGUAUCAUGAUUGGAGAAAGGAAUUGAAAUUGGCAUUUUUGAACAAGGAAUUCCCAAUAAGUGCGGGUCAUGAGCUCGUGCUGAUUACGUCCCUGCCCUUUGCAUCUCCCGUCGCUACUACCGAUUGGAUGAUUCGGUGAGAUCUUCGCACCGAUGCUUCGUGUCGAUCCCUUGCGGAUCGGCUGUUGCGUUGGAAAGUUAGCCGAGCCCAACCAUCGAGAGGAAGUAAAAGUCGCAAAAAGGUUUCCCUAGGUGACCGCAGUAUAUGAA
rnacentral:ncRNA from 1 species